UGAAUGUUGCGGCGUGCUUACACAUGCAGUCGAACGAUGAUCCCAGCUUGCUGGGGGAUUAGUGGCGAACGGGUGAGUAACACGUGAGUAACCUGCCCUUGACUCUGGGAUAAGCCUGGGAAACUGGGUCUAAUACCGGAUAUGACUGUCUGACGCAUGUCAGGUGGUGGAAAGCUUUUGUGGUUUUGGAUGGACUCGCGGCCUAUCAGCUUGUUGGUGGGGUAAUGGCCUACCAAGGCGACGACGGGUAGCCGGCCUGAGAGGGUGACCGGCCACACUGGGACUGAGACACGGCCCAGACUCCUACGGGAGGCAGCAGUGGGGAAUAUUGCACAAUGGGCGCAAGCCUGAUGCAGCGACGCCGCGUGAGGGAUGACGGCCUUCGGGUUGUAAACCUCUUUCAGUAGGGAAGAAGCGAAAGUGACGGUACCUGCAGAAGAAGCGCCGGCUAACUACGUGCCAGCAGCCGCGGUAAUACGUAGGGCGCAAGCGUUAUCCGGAAUUAUUGGGCGUAAAGAGCUCGUAGGCGGUUUGUCGCGUCUGCUGUGAAAGACCGGGGCUCAACUCCGGUUCUGCAGUGGGUACGGGCAGACUAGAGUGCAGUAGGGGAGACUGGAAUUCCUGGUGUAGCGGUGAAAUGCGCAGAUAUCAGGAGGAACACCGAUGGCGAAGGCAGGUCUCUGGGCUGUAACUGACGCUGAGGAGCGAAAGCAUGGGGAGCGAACAGGAUUAGAUACCCUGGUAGUCCAUGCCGUAAACGUUGGGCACUAGGUGUGGGGGACAUUCCACGUUUUCCGCGCCGUAGCUAACGCAUUAAGUGCCCCGCCUGGGGAGUACGGCCGCAAGGCUAAAACUCAAAGGAAUUGACGGGGGCCCGCACAAGCGGCGGAGCAUGCGGAUUAAUUCGAUGCAACGCGAAGAACCUUACCAAGGCUUGACAUGAACCGGUAAUACCUGGAAACAGGUGCCCCGCUUGCGUCGGUUUACAGGUGGUGCAUGGUGUCGUCAGCUCGUGUCGUGGAGAUUGUGGGUUAAGUCCCGCACGAGCGCAACCUCGUUCUUAUNUGUGCCAGCGCGUUAUGGCGGGACUCUAUAGGAGAACUGCCGGGUCAACCUCGAGAGGUGGGGACGACGUCAAUCUAUUCAUGCCCAUUGUCCUGCGCUCACGCAUGCCUACAAUGGCCGUUACA
rnacentral:rRNA from 1 species